rnacentral:rRNA from 1 species
AUUGAACGCUGGCGGCAGGCCUAACACAUGCAAGUCGAACGAGUGGCGGACGGGUGCGUAAUGUCUGGGAAAUUGCCCGAUGGCGGGGGAUAACUACUGGAAACAGUAGCUAAUACCGCAUACCAUCGGAUUUGCCCAGAUGGGAUUAGAGAUUAGGUGGGGUAACGGCUCACCUGGGCGACGAUCCCUAGCUGGUCCGAGAGGAGGACCAGCCAAACUAGAACUGAGAGACGGUCCAGACUCAUACGGGAGGCAGAAGUGGGGAAUAUGGCACAAUGGGCGCAAGCCUGAUGCAGCCAUGCCGCGUGUAUGAAGAAGGCCUUCGGGUUGUAAAGUACUUUCGGCGAGGAGGCGUUACUCGCAGAAGAAGCAACGGCUAACUCCGUGCCAGCAGCCGCGGUAAUAC